AGUGAACGCUGGCGGUAGGCCUAACACAUGCAAGUCGAACGGCAGCACAGUAAGAGCUUGCUCUUACGGGUGGCGAGUGGCGGACGGGUGAGGAAUACAUCGGAAUCUACUUUUUCGUGGGGGAUAACGUAGGGAAACUUACGCUAAUACCGCAUACGACCUACGGGUGAAAGCAGGGGAUCUUCGGACCUUGCGCGACUGAAUGAGCCGAUGUCGGAUUAGCUAGUUGGCGGGGUAAAGGCCCACCAAGGCGACGAUCCGUAGCUGGUCUGAGAGGAUGGUCGGCCACACGGAACCUGAGACACGGUCCAGACUCCUACGGGAGGCAGCGGUGGGAAUAUUGGACAAAGGGCGCAAGCCUGAUCCAGCCAUACCGCGUGGGUGAAGAAGGCCUUCGGGUUGUAAAGCCCUUUUGUUGGGAAAGAAAAGCAGCAGGUUAAUACCCCGCUGUUCUGACGGUACCCAAAGAAUAAGCACCGGCUAACUUCGUG
rnacentral:rRNA from 1 species